rnacentral:rRNA from 1 species
GACGAACGCUGGCGGCGUGCUUAACACAUGCAAGUCGAGCGGUAAGGCCCUUUCGGGGGUACGACGAGCGGCGAACGGGUGAGUAACACGUGGGUGACCUGCCCUCAGCUCUGGGAGUAAGCCCGGGAAACUGGGUCUAAUACCGGAUAUGACUCCAUGACGCAUGUUGGUGGGGUGGAAAGCCUUGUGCGGCUGAGGAUGGGCCCGCGGCCUAUCAGCUUGUUGGUGGGGUGAGGCCUACCAAGGCGACGACGGGUAGCCGGCCUGAGAGGGCGACCGGCCACACUGGGACUGAGACACGGCCCAGACUCCUACGGGAGGCAGCAGUGGGGAAUCUUGCGCAAUGGGCGAAAGCCUGACGCAGCGACGCCGCGUGAGGGAUGACGGCCUC